AUUCUACGUCCCUGGCACUAUGUAAGAGAAAGUCCAGGAAGACUCAUUCUACGUCCCUGGCAUCUUGGAAUGUUAUGUUAUGUUAUGUUAUGUAAGAGAAAGACCAGGACCCAUUCUAUGUUCUGGCACUAAUGGAAAUGUAGAGGGCUAUUGGCGACAAAUUCAUCCUUGAUGUGAUUUGUUUGUGAUGUGUUGCAUUCCAUGAAAGCAUGAACUUUUAAUAUAAUGUUUU
rnacentral:lncRNA from 1 species